CUGAGGGGGAGAGAGAGAGAUUGCUUUGAUUAUAUUCAAAUGAAUCCUGCAUCACCAAGCCCAGAUUCCAAGGGCAGAUCUUGGGAAGGAAUAUAAAAUUAAGGGAGGUCAAUAUUGUUGUUGUAUGAAUCCCUUUAUAAAAGAACUAGUUUAAUAAAAUGGGUUUCUAUAGCCUUUCUUGAACAAGUUUCCUGCUUUACAGGUCUCAACCAGGGAAGCAAACUGAGCUGAGGAGAGGCCAAUCUGCAAUCUCUAUUUGGAGCCAUGAAGACUUGGUUUUUGAGGUGGCUUCAUCAUGAUGACUAUGACUUGACAGCGACUUCUUUGAUUGCUAGCUGUUUCUAUUUGCACAAUUUGCUGCUCCUCACCAAUUUAGGUCUACUUGAGCUGCCUUUCUCAGGUACUAUGCAUAAAAGUCGUCUACCAUUGUUUUUCAGCAUAAUUGAUACGUACAUGUAUUUGUUUUACCAGAUAACAGGGAAAAUUAAGGAGAAGGAUAUCUUUUUUCUGAGUUUUCAAGUAGUUGUUGAUAGGUGGGGUUUUUUCUUCCCUUUUCAACCUUUCACCAAGUGUUUGGUGUUGAAA
rnacentral:misc_RNA from 1 species